rnacentral:rRNA from 1 species
UAGUCUAUUCGGUGAUGCAGCUAACGCAUUAAACAUUCCCGCCUGGGGAGUACGGUCGCAAGAUUAAAACUCAAAGGAAUAGACGGGGACCCGCACAAGUGGUGGAGCAUGUGGUUUAAUUCGAAGAUACGCGAAGAACCUUACCUAGCCUUGACAUAUUUAAGAACACUUUAGAGAUAGAGUGGUGCCUUCGGGAGCUUUUAUACAGGUGCUGCACGGCUGUCGUCAGCUCGUGUCGUGAGAUGUUGGGUUAAGUCCCGCAACGAGCGCAACCCUCGUCACUAGUUACUAACGGUUCGGCCGAGGACUCUAGUGAGACUGCCUUCGCAAGGAGGAGGAAGGUGAGGAGACGUCAAGUCAUCAUGGCCCUUACGGCUAGGGCA